rnacentral:rRNA from 1 species
UACGGGGGGGGCAAGCGUUGUUCGGAAUUACCGGGCGUAAAGGGCUCGUAGGCGGCCAACUAAGUCGGACGUGAAAUCCCCAGGCUCAACCUGGGAACUGCGUCCGAUACUGGAUGGCUUGAAUUCGGGAGAGGGAUGCAGAAUUCCAGGUGUAGCGGUGAAAUGCGUAGAUAUCUGGAGGAAUACCGGUGGCGAAGGCGGCAUCCUGGACCGACAAUGACGCUGAGGAGCGAAAGCUAGGGGAGCAAACGGG